rnacentral:lncRNA from 1 species
AUCAGAGACAGAAAGACAAGAUAACACCAGAGACAACCUGAUGGUGAGAGGCAGGCACAGGAAAGUAAACAACAGAAGUCAUGACUACUUGGCAUCAUCAGAGACCCAUUCUCCGACCAAAGCAGAUACUAUACAACCAAACCCAAAGAAAAAGAAAGAUUUGGAUUUAAAACCACAUCUCAUGAUCAUGAUAGAGGACAUUAAGAAGGAUAUAAAUAACUCCCUUAAAGAAAGACUGGACAACACAGGUAAAUGAGUAGAAGCCCUUAAAGAGGAAACACAAAAAUCCCUAAAAUAAUUACGAGAAAACACAAUCAAACAGGUGAAGGAAUUGAAGAAAACCUAUCAGGAUUAAAAUGGAAAUAGAAACAAUAAAAAAAGCACAAA